AUACGGAGGAUGCAAGCGUUAUCCGGAUUUAUUGGGUUUAAAGGGUGCGUAGGCGGAUGAUUAAGCGUGAGGUGAAAUGCCACUGCUCAACAGUGGAACUGCCUCGCGAACUGGUUGUCUUGAAUGCUCCUGCCGUGGGAGGAAUGUGUGGUGUAGCGGUGAAAUGCAUAGAGAUCACACAGAACACCGAUUGCGAAGGCAUCUCACGAAGGGGUGAUUGACGCUGAGGCACGAAAGCGUGGGGAUCAAACAGGAUUAGAUACCCUGGUAGGCCACGCAGUAAACGAUGAUAACUAACCGCUGGGUCGUAGUGAUUCAGUGGCCAAGCGAAAGCGAUAAGUUAUCCACCUGGGGAGUACGACCGCAAGGUUGAAACUCAAAGGAAUUGACGGGG
rnacentral:rRNA from 1 species